rnacentral:rRNA from 1 species
ACGCACGCUGGCAGCGUGCUUCACACAUGCAAGUCGAACGGAAAGGCCCUGCUUUUGUGGGGUGCUCGAGUGGCGAACGGGUGAGUAACACGUGAGUAACCUGCCCUUGACUUUGGGAUAACUUCAGGAAACUGGGGCUAAUACCGGAUAGGAGCUCCUGCUGCAUGGUGGGGGUUGGAAAGUUUCGGCGGUUGGGGAUGGACUCGCGGCUUAUCAGCUUGUUGGUGGGGUAGUGGCUUACCAAGGCUUUGACGGGUAGCCGGCCUGAGAGGGUGACCGGCCACAUUGGGACUGAGAUACGGCCCAGACUCCUACGGGAGGCAGCAGUGGGGAAUAUUGCACAAUGGGCGGAAGCCUGAUGCAGCAACGCCGCGUGCGGGAUGACGGCCUUCGGGUUGUAAACCGCUUUCGCCUGUGACGAAGCGUGAGUGACGGUAAUGGGUAAAGAAGCACCGGCUAACUACGUG